CAAAUUGGAGCUUGAGAGUAAAGCGUUUCAUUUACAUUGAAAUUUUAUCGUGCAAUUCGGUUUAAUUUGA
rnacentral:tRNA from 1 species